rnacentral:rRNA from 1 species
UACGUAGGGGGCUAGCGUUGUUCGGAAUUACUGGGCGUAAAGGGCUCGUAGGCGGCCAACUAAGUCAGACGUGAAAUCCCUCGGCUUAACCGGGGAACUGCGUCUGAUACUGGAUGGCUUGAAUCCGGGAGAGGGAUGCGGAAUUCCAGGUGUAGCGGUGAAAUGCGUAGAUAUCUGGAGGAACACCGGUGGCGAAGGCGGCAUCCUGGACCGGUAUUGACGCUGAGGAGCGAAAGCCAGGGGAGCAAACGGG